rnacentral:lncRNA from 1 species
ACAAAAGCUUCUUUUGCACAAAAGUUGGUUUCUUACUUAAAUGUCUGUCUAAUUGCCUCUCCAAUUUCAAUAAAAAUAGGAGAAGGGAUAUUUCGAGCAGCAGACUUGUCUAAUCAACCUGUCUCCCACAGACAAAUCUUCUCCAUUCCUAAAGCCACCGAUUGUAUAUUGUUGGUAAAUAUUAACUUCAUUCUGUUUGCCAAAAUAAAGAAAAUAUUUUUCUCUGUCUCCUUAUUGCAAGAACAGGAGGUGCUCCCUGGGCAUGAAAUGAUCUGUGCUGGUUUUCCGAGUACAGUGGAUUCUCAACUUACAGACGGCUCCACUUACAGAUUUUUCGAGUUACAGACUUAUCUGGCCACAAAAUUUAGGUUUGACUUGCAGCCGGAGAAUCGAAAAAUGGAACAAAAACGGCCAGUUACGGAUUAAUCGGUUUUCAAUGCAUUGUAGGUCAAUGGAGCCUCGACCUACAGACUUUUUGACCUGCAGCCACUGUCCCAAUAUGGAUUAAUUCCGUAUGUUGAUGGUCCACUGUACCACAAGGAACCACUUUAUAGCUGGGUCUUCUUCUAGGUUAGCAACUUAUUCUGUAGCACACUUCUGAUUAUUCCCCUUUGUUAUGAUUAUUCAUAUAGGCAAGGGUUAGAUGUGCUCUGUGUCUAAACUCAACCUUGGUACAUAGGAGGUGGGCCCUUUCUGAACGAUUUAUAAAAUUGUCCCUCAAUUAUAAGUUGUUUUUGUAAGGCGUCAGAUCAGUUGCUGUGUUUGUGGCAUUUGGCAUGAAACAUUCAUUUGAAAGAUGCCUCCUUCUCACAAAAGUGUAUCUGGACACUACCUCGACGGAAAUUUGGAGAGUGUGUGUGUGUGUGUGCCUGAUGAAAAGGCCUUCUGUCAUCAGGAGGUUUCAGGCAGAUAAGACAGACGCUCAAACAAUUGUUAACAGUUGUAUAAAUGGGCCCACAUAAUUGUAUGAAUGGAUUGUAGUUUCGGCUCUAAAGUUAGCAGCACUGGGCUGGGUCAGGAUGCAAAUAGAUGGUAGGCUCGGAAUUUCCAUGUAGCAGAACUUGGAAAAACUAUGGUCGGGACUGUGGAGACGUCUAAUUCCCAGAGUCCCCCAGCUGGCAUAGCCAGGCCAUGUUGGAUGGGGGAUUCUGGAAGAUGUGAACCCAUGAAAUGAGUUUUUCCAAAUUCUGCAUGUAGCUUUAAAAGAUUCUGAGCUGCUUUUUAAGAAGGGUGCAAAAUGUAGUAAUUUUGGAUUGGUGCAUUUAUUUAUUUUCCUGAUCAAGCAACCAUUUGAAUAAAAUCCUUGCAUACUGUUUCUUUUGAGAUACA